rnacentral:rRNA from 1 species
UGUAUAAUGGGUCAGCGACUUAUAUUCUGUAGCAAGGUUAACCGAAUAGGGGAGCCGAAGGGAAACCGAGUCUUAACUGGGCGUUAAGUUGCAGGGUAUAGACCCGAAACCCGGUGAUCUAGCCAUGGGCAGGUUGAAGGUUGGGUAACACUAACUGGAGGACCGAACCGACUAAUGUUGAAAAAUUAGCGGAUGACUUGUGGCUGGGGGUGAAAGGCCAAUCAAACCGGGAGAUAGCUGGUUCUCCCCGAAAGCUAUUUAGGUAGCGCCUCGUGAAUUCAUCUCCGGGGGUAGAGCACUGUUUCGGCAAGGGGGUCAUCCCGACUUACCAACCCGAUGCAAACUGCGAAUACCGGAGAAUGUUAUCACGGGAGACACACGGCGGGUGCUAACGUCCGUCGUGAAGAGGGAAACAACCCAGACCGCCAGCUAAGGUCCCAAAGUCAUGGUUAAGUGGGAAACGAUGUGGGAAGGCCCAGACAGCCAGGAUGUUGGCUUAGAAGCAGCCAUCAUUUAAAGAAAGCGUAAUAGCUCACUGGUCGAGUCGGCCUGCGCGGAAGAUGUAACGGGGCUAAACCAUGCACCGAAGCUGCGGCAGCGACGCUUAUGCGUUGUUGGGUAGGGGAGCGUUCUGUAAGCCUGUGAAGGUGUACUGUGAGGUAUGCUGGAGGUAUCAGAAGUGCGAAUGCUGACAUAAGUAACGAUAAAGCGGGUGAAAAGCCCGCUCGCCGGAAGACCAAGGGUUCCUGUCCAACGUUAAUCGGGGCAGGGUGAGUCGACCCCUAAGGCGAGGCCGAAAGGCGUAGUCGAUGGGAAACAGGUUAAUAUUCCUGUACUUGGUGUUACUGCGAAGGGGGGACGGAGAAGGCUAUGUUGGCCGGGCGACGGUUGUCCCGGUUUAAGCGUGUAGGCUGGUUUUCCAGGCAAAUCCGGAAAAUCAAGGCUGAGGCGUGAUGACGAGGCACUACGGUGCUGAAGCAACAAAUGCCCUGCUUCCAGGAAAAGCCUCUAAGCAUCAGGUAACAUCAAAUCGUACCCCAAACCGACACAGGUGGUCAGGUAGAGAAUACCAAGGCGCUUGAGAGAACUCGGGUGAAGGAACUAGGCAAAAUGGUGCCGUAACUUCGGGAGAAGGCACGCUGAUAUGUAGGUGAAGCGACUUGCUCGUGGAGCUGAAAUCAGUCGAAGAUACCAGCUGGCUGCAACUGUUUAUUAAAAACACAGCACUGUGCAAACACGAAAGUGGACGUAUACGGUGUGACGCCUGCCCGGUGCCGGAAGGUUAAUUGAUGGGGUUAGCGGUAACGCGAAGCUCUUGAUCGAAGCCCCGGUAAACGGCGGCCGUAACUAUAACGGUCCUAAGGUAGCGAAAUUCCUUGUCGGGUAAGUUCCGACCUGCACGAAUGGCGUAAUGAUGGCCAGGCUGUCUCCACCCGAGACUCAGUGAAAUUGAACUCGCUGUGAAGAUGCAGUGUACCCGCGGCAAGACGGAAAGACCCCGUGAACCUUUACUAUAGCUUGACACUGAACAUUGAGCCUUGAUGUGUAGGAUAGGUGGGAGGCUUUGAAGUGUGG